CUCUUUCUGAGGCAUCAGCCGUCCCAAACAACAUACUUCAAACCUAAUACCUACUCAACUAAAUUCCGACAGACCGGUUAGAUGCAAAGAAUUCAUGCCCCAUCUUGGUUUUGGAUCUACUUUUUAGGGUGCGACAUACAUUGUUUGAUCUUUCUCCUCAUGUUCAAGGAUAAUUGGCUGAAUUAUUUGAUGAGCUUAGAAGCAUCAGUCGCCAAGUUCCAUCUCUUUUGCUUGCUUUCCAAGACUGGAUUUAGAAAAGAAAGCGAUUGCAAUCGCCAAGUAGUUGUCAUUAUGAUUAUCAUAAGAGACACCCAGAGAAGCGCCCACACAGCCUUUAACCAUUAAGAAGCAAAAUUACAGUGGGAUUUACCCGGGCGCGUAAAGCUAUAGAAGCAGCAAGAUCACUCGGUGACCGUUGAUGUAGAAGACGGUUUGCUCAAGGUUUCCUUCAAAACAAUUCGAGACUCGGAACAAAAUAGGUCCUGAGACCAAGUGGGUUUAUGAAAAGUCGAGAAAUUCACAUACAAAUUGAUUUAUGAGAAAGUUCGACAAUGACUGCCCCAACAUGAAGUUUCCCUGAAAGAUCGCCAGAAUCGACAGCCCCUUGCUCCAUCCAAUUGGAGUUAAAAGGGGGAAGAACCUCUCCUUNNN
rnacentral:lncRNA from 1 species